AGGGUAAUAGUUAAACAUAACAUUUGGGUUGCAUUCAAAAAGUAUCUUAUUAGAUUUACCUUA
rnacentral:tRNA from 1 species